AGGUAGCGAAAUUCCUUGUCAGGUAAGUUCUGACCCGCACGAAAGGCGUAAUGAUUUGGGCGCUGUCUCGACAAUGUACUCGGCGAAAUUGUAGUACUAGUGAAGAUGCUAGUUACCUGCGACAAGACAGAAAGACCCCAUGGAGCUUUACUGUAGCUUGAUACUGGGUUUCGAUAAUUUAUGUACAGGAUAGGUGGGAGGCGAAGAAGCAAUUGCGCCAGCAGUUGUGGAGUCAUCCUUGGGAUACCACCCUUAAGUUAUUGAAAUUCUAACCUGUAGUCCUGAGCGGGCUAGGGGACAAUGUCAGGCGGGCAGUUUGACUGGGGCGGUCGCCUCCAAAAGAGUAACGGAGGCGCGCAAAGGUUUCCUCAGCGCGGACAGAAAUCGCGCGAAAGAGUGCAAAGGCAGAAGGAAGCUUAACUGAGAGACUGACAAGUCGACCAGAUACGAAAGUAGGUCUUAGUGAUCCGGCGGUAGUGAGUGGAAAUGCCGUCGCUCAACGGACAAAAGUUACCCUGGGGAUAACAGGCUUAUCUCCCCCAAGAGUUCACAUCGACGGGGAGGUUUGGCACCUCGAUGUCGGCUCAUCACAUCCUGGAGCGGAAGUACGUUCCAAGGGUUGGGCUGUUCGCCCAUUAAAGUGGUACGCGAGCUGGGUUCAGAACGUCGUGAGACAGUUCGGUCCUUAUCUGUCGCAGGCGAAGGAUAUUUGAGGGGAGUUGACCUUAGUACGAGAGGACCAGGUUGAACUUACCAAUGGUGUAUCAGUUGUCGUACCAACGGCACGGCUGAGUAGCUAAGUAGGGAAGGGAUAAACGCUGAAAGCAUCUAAGUGUGAAGCCCACCCCAAGAUAAGAUAUCCCAUACCGUAAGGUAGUAAGAUUCCACGUAGACUAUGUGGUAGAUAGGUUGGAGGUGUAAGUGCAGUAAUGCAUUAAGCUGACCAAUACUAAUAAAUCGAGGGCUUAACCAC
rnacentral:rRNA from 1 species